CCCUAUUAGCCGUUUUGCUUGAUCUUCUACAGAUCCAUCGUCUCUCACACAAAAAUGAAGACAUUUCCUCAAUCUAGCUAAAAGAAAGAACUCUCGUCUGAAGGAGCGAUUAUAUUUGUAGAGGCAGGACCCAUAGAAAAACAAAAAAAAAGAAAAGAAAAACGGCGUAGCAGAAAAACUAAAGAGAAAAUCCUAAUUCCUAAGAAGAAAGAGAACGGAGCCUAAGGCUUUUGUUAGACAAUGAUCUAACAAAAUUGAGAAGGGAAUCUGAUUGGGAACCAAAAAUAGGGACCUAAACGGGAAAAAAAGGCAGCGUCGAUUACAAAAGAAAAAGAGACCACUGUCUCAAAUUCCCAAAACAAUUUUGAGGAGCUGUCCGAGGUUCUUCGAAGUUUCACCACUUCCGACGAGCUCUCUUUCACCAUAAAACGCAGCAGCUCAAUUGUUCUCUUAAUUUGAGUUCAGCCCGUGAAGGUCGUCAAGGUCACCGUGGUUUUGAGAAUGAAGUUGAUUCACUAGAGGUAUUUUGUUUGUUUUUCUUCUUCAGAUAUUGUCUUCAUGAUUUAUUGAAAUUUUAAGGUCAUUAAUUGUUUGAUUAAACAUUAAAAUCAGGAAUAACAUAUAUUGCUACCUUGAAAAUUUGAUACUUUUAGCCCUUUCUGUUUUUUUUACUUCUUGAAAAAUGACGUUAUGUUUGGUUCCUUAGUUGAUGUUUUACUGUCCAGAUCUAUCGUUGUAGUUUCUUGGUUCAUGAAUUAACAAUAUCCUAGCUAUCAUUACUUUAGUUUGUUGGAUAAAUAUUGAAUAACAUAAGUACAUAACUGUAAUGUGAAGAACAAUGAGAGGUGGGUUUGAUUCCAAUUCUUAGGAAAGGAAGCAGAUUUGGGCCUACAGAGCUGGCCCAACUCAGAAACUCCACCGCUAUUAACCCACCUAUGAUUUGCAAUGUAGAUAAUUCUCUUACAGUUAUACUUUUUUUCCAUAAUAAUUUCCAUGCAUAUGGCCUUCUAUAAUCUCAAACUUUAGGAAAAUAAUCAGUCUAGAAUAUCGUAGCUUGCUUUAGGCGCGAUCAAUAAUAAAUUAUUGUGGUCAUGAGUACGAUUCCCGUGGCAUAAUUACGAUAAGUGAAUCUCAAUUCGGGGUGUAUUUCAUAUAACCCGAUCAUAACAACUUCAAAUAAUAAAACCCUUUGAAAUAAAUGGAGGCGUGUCAUGCCAAGCAAAAUUUAUAAUCCAUGGUCUUCAUAAGAUUAGAUUCAGGAACUAACACUUAUAGAAAAAGGUUUGAGGUGUGCCAUAAAUAAAUUAAAUCAUUCAUGAACCUCGCAAAUAUUACUAUUGAAAAUUGAAUCUUCGUAGUUGCUUUGGGCGCGUUACUUAAAUAAUUCAUCAUAACUACGAGUAUGAUUCCCGUGACGUAGUUGUGAUUUUUUUUAAUUGUAUAUUUCAUGUGACCCAAUUUUAAUUUUCAACAAUGUUAAAUAAAGCGUGUUGCGAAUCACUAUUGCAUUUCAUGUAGCGUGAUUUAAGACGUGUUUUAAAUAAUAUUGAAUUUUCCUAAAAAAUAACUAAAGAGUUUACAAAAGCUAAAAAUGCAAAAUAGGUUAAAACAUGUAGUUAAUCAAAUAAUAGGCCAUUUUUAACAGUUUAAACGACCGUGCUAGAACCACGGAACCCGGGAAUGCCUAACACCUUCUCCCGAGUUAACAGAAUUCCUUAUCUAGAAUUUCUGGUUCACACACUUUAAAAAAUAAAAAAUUUCUCGAUUUGGGAUUUUAAAUAAACCGGGUACUUGGCACACCAAAUAAACUAUACCAAGUGGUGACUCUGAAAAAAUUAAAUAAAAUAAUCUCAUUUCGAAUAAUGUCAAUUAAAUUAAAAAAACUCCCUUUAUACCCUCGGGUAGUGUAAAAAGGAAGUGUGACAGCAUAGGCCAACUCAAACUGCCUCUCUACCUAACCUUUAGCGAGCGCAACAACUGCUUCGCGAAUGCGAUGCUUAACCAGCUCAUUCCUUUACGAACGCGGGCCUCACCUCGCGAACGCGUAGACCAAAGAUCUGGGGUCCCCAACUGCCUCACUCCUCUUUGCGAACGCGACCGCACUCAUGUGUUCGCGAUGCACACACUGCCUUACCCUUCGCGUUUGCGUUCUACCCUUUGCAAACGCAUAGAAUAAACCCACCACCACAGAAGACACUCUUCGCGAACGCGAGACACUCUCUUCGAACGCGAUGAACAAACCUCUGCAACCAAAAACCAGCAAAGUCUGCAACUCUCAAAACUAAGAAUUUGAUUCGAUAACCUCCCGAAACUCACCCAAGGCCUCGGGACCUCAACCAAAAUGCCAACACAUCUCAUAACAUCAUUCAAACUUAGUCGAGCCUUCGAAUCACUCAAAACAAUACCAAAACGUCCAAUCAAUCUCGAAUUCAAACCUAAAAAACCUAAAAAAUUUCAAAUUCCACAAACGACACCAAAAUCUAUCAAAUCAACUCCGAAUGACCUGAAAUUUUGUACACACAUCACAAAUGACACUACAAACCUACUCCAACUUCCGAAAUUUCAUUCCGACCCCGAUAUCAAGAUUUCCACUGCCGACCAAAAACUCCAAAUUUCUAAUUUUGCCAAAUCAAAUCUAAAUCUACCACGAACCUCUAAAUCACAUUCCGGACGUGCUCCCAAGUCCAAAAUCACCUAAAGGAGCUAACCAAUCAUAAAAAUCCAAAUCCGAGAUCGAAUACUAAGAAGUCAAAACUUGGUCAAACCUUUCAAAUUUAAAGCUUCAAACUGAGAAUUGUUCUUCCAAAUCUAUUCCGAUUAUCCUGAAAACCAAAACUAACGAUUUACAUAAGUCAUAAUACAUCACACAGGGCUAGUCAUGCCCGAGAACUGGCGAGCGAAGUACAAAUACUCAAAACGACCGAUCGGGUCGUUACAUGAAGGCAUUAAUUUAACAAAAAUGAGCAGCGUGCCAAAAAAAGUUAUGUUCAUCCUUCAUUUGAAAAAAAGGUCAGUAAUUUUACAUGCGAGAUACUUUAUCCUAUUAAUACAAGUGAGCUCAAUAUUUGCUAAUUCAGAUGAAUUCUAACCAACAGACACCAAGUUGGUGUCAAAUGACAAUAUACAGUGUGGAUUUACAUCUAACCUUCAAAAAGAAAGGGUUUGAAUUUUGCUCGAAGAUAUCAAUAACUUCUCUAAUAAAUUAAAGAAAAGCCGAAGGGCUCCAACUUAGAUUUGAAAUCAAAGAUGCAGAUACCAAUUUGAGGAUUUGAUAGACCUAGUUGGUUUUAUAUUCAUUUAAUUCAGGGUAGGAAUGAUAUGCUUUUGGCGGCAAUAAGUGGCAUAUUGAAGGAUUCAACUUGAAACUUUAGAACAUUCACCACUAUCUCAGAAACAAAUAUUGAACAUACAAAUACAACUACAAUCUCAUAGGAUUACUAACCUUAACUUUUUGCUCUUUGGCUGGGGCAGUCAUAAUUCCUUGACAACUGUAAAAAACAUGACAACCAUAUAUUAAAAAAAUAAAUAAAACGGGGCACUUUACCAGAUUGCAACAGAAUGGACACUUUUAAUAGUCCUGUGAAAAGAAAAGCGAUUCAGCAAAACUUCAAAUUGAAUGUGCUUUUGCAAUGUGCACAUCCAAAGAUUUCACUUUUCAAGUAGUUCGCGUGUAAAUAAAAUAGAACUACCAAUGGUUACAACAGGAUAUCCAAUACGAGAAUCGCACCAAAAUAGUCGACCCUAAGCUGCAAAAACUAAAUCUAUUUUCUUCAAUAUCAUUUUCAAUUUUAAAAGAAUGAAAAAAACUUCUACAAAGGUUUCCACGUACUACGGUUUGUUCUGACGGGGCGCGCGCAUAUAUAUACUCCCUCCGUUUCAAUUUAUGUGAAUCUAUUUCUUUUUUAGUCCGUGCCAAAAAGAAUGGCCCCUUUCCUUAUUUGGAAACAGUUUACCUUUACACAAUGAUUUAUAACCACACAAAAUAUAUGUAACUCAUUUUACUCCACAAGAUCAAAAAUAUCUCUUUUCUUAAACUCCGUACCCAGUCAAAUGGGUUCACAUAAAUUGAAAUGGAGGGAGUAUAACACAAUAACAACAUUCAGCCAUUUCAUAUAAAUCAAAAAAAUCGAAUUUCAAGUCAAAAAUCAUUUCAAGAACCUAAAAUCAAAAUAUAGAUCAAAGCAAAACCCAGCAAAUACAAACAAAUCAGAAAUAUCAAAGACCAAAAUUAGGUCUCAUAUCUGAUAACAAUGAAUACCUCAGGAUUGGAGAGGAGGGCGGGAAAAAGAGCGGAUCUUGAAUCAGAGCAAAGGGCUCUGCGGAGGAGAGGGAGCGUGGAUCUAACUCGCGCUGCCAUUGCCAUCGCAAGAGAAUCUUUUCUUCGACGCCGGUUUGUUUUCACCAGAGAUUAAUGGGGAAUUGUAGUGUUAAAAUUGGCUGAGUGAGGGUAGAGAGUCUCGAGGAGGCUGCGGUUUUACUGGCUCAACAUUUCAGAACUUAUUAUUAGUUAUAACCUAAGAGGGCAUAGAAUUUCUAUGCUACCCUUUUUCUCUUUUUUUUCCGGUUGUAACUUUUUUUUUUUGGCCAACCAUAGAUUAGUCUAUAUUAAUUAAUGAUCAGUGUUACUGGAAGGUUGUGGUACAUUGUUACAAAAGGAGUCUAAUACAUAUACCUUGGUAAGCAUACUUUUGGAAGGAAAGGUUGUACAAUGGAUACUUCCAAAUAAGUUUAGGCAAUUCAUUAGGUAAUUGAAAAAAACCACCGCUUAAUAUCAUUAGUCUUUCUAUUGCUGCACCUAUUACAAUGCCCAUGAGAAAAUUAGACCUGAGAGUUGCAACGUUUAUCAUUAGGCUUUCGACUAUCAUCAUACAAGUGAAACUGACCAAAGUAAAGUAGAUGAAAUGGUCAAAUCCGUUUUGAAAUUCAGUAAGAAAAUAGGCAAUGGCACUUGCGACCAAUGAAAUUAGUAGCAAGUAAGGCAUAAAAUAAUGUGUGUUGCCUAUUAUCAAAGCAAAACAUCCAUAAUGCACGUUCAAGAUUCUUUGUGUUUGUAUGUAAUUUAGUGGAAGAAUGGUAGAAAAUAGUGAGUGAAGUGAAAUCGCCGAGUCCAACAAAUAAAUGAUUUGGAGCCAUAUGAAAUAAUUAAAUCCUCAAGAUCUCCUUUAGUUACUGAAUCGUUGUUCUUUUCUUAGUAGGACUGUGCUAUGGCAUCAGUUAUUGUGUACCUUUGGAACAUAUUGAGGUGUGCCUUUCAUCUCUCUAUAUAUAUUAUAUUAAAAGCACAAAACUACUUAGCGAAAUGUCGUUCACUUUUUUUACCCCUUAAAAUUGAAUUUUAUAUUGGAUGAAAUUGUAAUACAAGUUAAUUUCCUAGUUUUUAGGACUUUAAAAUUAACUAAAAUUUUGGUCAUAAAGUCUUUCCUUAUUGCACUAGAUAAGAAAUACUAAUAUUUAGGACUUUAAAAUUGAUUAAAAUAUUACCUUAUAUAAAUCAAACAAUUAAUUUAUAACAUUUUUUUAUUGUACGUAGUCCUACAAAUUACGCACAUAUAUAUUGAGUUUCACCGAUAGCACCUGAGAUAUGUUGAAUAUUCAAUUAAUUCCUUUUUUUGGGGUCUUUUUUCUCAAGAAAUCUUUGGAAGAUUUGUUGGCAGCUUGGAAUUCUUUGUCCCGAUCUAAAUACAUAGAGAUUUGAUAUAAUUAUCAAUACAUAUUAAACUCAAAAAACAAAAGGGCAAGAACAUAUUUGAAUUUGGUAAAGCAAUUCAAAAUUCCAUGUUCGCUUUCUCUCGAAGGAAAUAUACGUGAAUUUAUAUAAAUUUUUUUUUAAAUGAUACUUAAAAAAAGUACGAAUGUUAUACUAUUUAUCUAUCUAUAUCUAUCUAUAUCUAUCUAUCUAUCUAUUUAUCUAUCUAUUCUCUAUCUAUUUAUCUAUCUAUCUAUCUAUAAAAGUACGAAUGUUAUACGGACAAAAAUAUCUCCGAAAUAUUGACCGAUUUUUUGACCCUUCAUAUUUAAAUUAUGUCUUCAACAUUAAUGUCCAGAAACGUAAAAACAAUUCAUUAGUUGUAGAAUUCAAGUCUUUGUAAACUAAAGCACUAAACUAACGGUCUUAUUUGUGUUAGAACUCCAAUCCAAUGCCAAAACUACGGCUUAAAUGUUUGUUUACAGAAAGGUUUUGCCUAAAAUUUAAAAGAAAUUGCCUUUUAACUUACUUUCGUUCUACAUUGGUGUUGGCAAAAAGGAGUUACUUUAGUUUUUCCUUGUAUGAUAACCAGCAGUAAUGGAUUUUGUUCUUUCUUAAGAGGCAUGAGAUAUUUGGGUGAAAAGUUCCAACAUUUACACACACAAAGCAAAUUGUAAUUUGUAAACAUGAGUAGGGAGUUGUAUGGACAUUAUAGUUCUUUUGAUUUUGUGAUCCGAUAAGAGACAUCGGUUUAUACUAUUAGAAACUAAAGCAAGUCUUUCAAUAUUACACUUAAAAUUCUUCUUGAGUUAUUCUAGAAUAGUCAAUGUUCAUAACAAAUUUUAAUGACUAGCAGUAAUUUUUCAUGCGCUUUAGUAGUUUGUAUUUUAAAGAUCAAACAAGUGUAUUCAAUUAUUCAUAAUAUGAAUGAGAGUAUAAAAUUACAUGUAUCAUUUUUUCCCACAAAGAUAACUGUUGACACAGAAUACAUGUGAUAUGCAUGUUUCCAUUGAGGAUACUGUUGCAUUUUUCCCACAUUAAUGGCUUUAUUCGGUAUUCUUGUAUAUAAGUUUCCCGUAAAUUUAAUGUAUUGUUCCUUCAUAUACAUGAUAGACUAAAGAUUUACGUGCAAAACACGUACAUAGAAGCUAGUAUUAUUAUAAACACACGAAUGUCAAACGCUAAAUAUUGACCGACAAAAAUAUCCCCAAAAUAUUGAUCGACAUUUAUGCCCUUUAAAAGAUCAAUUUGUUCUUAAACGAAACAAUUCAAUGUUAGAUAAAACUGUAAGAUUUCAGAUAAUAAUACCCAUUAAGUUCGAACUUCUUAGCUAUAUACUAUAUUCCUUUCUACUUGUAUUGAAAUUUUAAUGCCAGUCCAAUCUCACAAGGACAAGAACUUCUACUUAUGUUGAAAUUCUAGAACAUUCCAAUCUGGCUAGGAGAAGAACAAUUUGAAGCUUAUGUUGUCCGUAUAUAUAAUUUUUAUUUAUUUAUUUUGAACAAGCAAAAGUGUUGUGUUCUCAAUUUUUCGGUUUGGGAAAUAUUAGCCGCACCUGGAAGGCAUAUAGACACAAAAACUUAGUUGUUUUCAAAAUACUAGAUAAGUAAAUAUUAGUGUAAGGUCUUAAAUAUUGGAGUAUAAUUUUAAUUUAUCCAACAAAUAAUCAUCUUAGUUAAGAAAUUAGUUAACUUUUGAAGGUUAUAAAAAUCGACAAAAUUUUUAGAGUUAGUUUUGUGUAAAUCAUCAAGGAAAAGGACAUAAUGUAUAAAUGCACCCAACAUUAACGAAAAUAGAAUCAAAUACAAAUACAAUAUAGUUUCUUGAAAACUAUAAUAAACAAACCGUUUGGGGUAAUAGUAAUGAAAUUUUAAAGGUUAUUCCCGGUUGUUCUUUCCCAUAACUGACUAAAAAUUUAUGUGCGAGACACGUAUUAUAAAAGCACGAAUAUUCAAACACUAAAUGUUGAACGACGAAAAUAUCCUCGAAAACUUGACGAACUUUUAUACCCUUUCAAAGCUGCACAAUUCAUUCAAAGAAUAAACUCGAUAUUGCAUACAUUGGUAAUAUUAGGAUCUUGCAAACAAUUAAGAGGUUAUCUUUAUGGGAUCUUUUUCGUUGUAGGACACCAAUUUGAUUAGGAGAGGAUUGCCAAUUAUAAGAUUCUCAACUUGACUAGAAAUCCUAAGUUCUUUUUAUAACUUUUUGUGCUUUGUAUUAUUAUAGUCAGGUUAUCGUGCGGCAGUGGCGGAGCAAACUGGUCUCAAAUUGUAAUGCAAAAUUUACAGGUAAAAAUUUUAUCCAUGCUUUGAAAAUUUAGUACAUAUAUUCUUCUCAAGAUUCUUUACCACGAUCAAUGCAUUGUACUUCAAUAGUCAAUGCAAUGUCCAGAGGAGGUGAAGUUUGACUUUUACCAAGUCAACUUGUUUGUUCUUUUGUACUUUGUAUAUUAUUUGUAAGAGAUACAAUAUAUAUAGUCUUGAUCGUUCCUGCCAUUGCUUCUUGAGGAAAUUAAAAACUUAUUUUGAUUGAUUUAAUUUUUAAUGUCUCUAGCUUUUGUUACUCUUUAGUUUAUGCAUCCAUGUCUAAAAUAUUUGGUUAUUUCUUUCGUCUUUUGUACAUUAUUUGUAGGAGAUAUACUAUAUAGUCUUUUAGAUUAAUUGUACAAGUUAAUCUCCUUCUGCCCUAAAAGUUGAUCUUCAUAUUAGUAGAUCAAGCACUCUAACAUUGUUGCGCAUGAGUAUAGAAGCUAGUAUAUAUUAUUAUAAAAGUAUGAAUAAUUUAUGUUAAAUGUUGAACGACUAAAAUAUCCCUAGAAUAUUAAUCGACUUUUAUGCCCUUAAAUAUUUGUAUAAUUUAAGGAUUUAAUAGUAAAUUACCUAAUAAUAGAAUUCUUCUUCGAUUUAAACUACACAUAUUGCCGACCCUACCACGUCGAUCCUACUUGAAUAAGAAAAGCAUGUCCAUAAUUUUUUAUCAAAAAGAACUAUUGUUCCUAAUUACAAUUCUCUAUAAUAAGUAAACAAGGAACGUACUAAAUGAAAAUUUUAGUACUAUGUUCUAAAAACAUUUUUAGCAUUUAAACAAAUUGAAAAAUUCUUACUAUACUUUAAAGUUAAUUUUUAUUGUUCAUAUAAAGGUAAAACUAAAUUAUAUAAUAUAUUAUGUGGCCUAAGUAUGAGGAGUUAUUACAUAAUAAAUUAAGUUAAUUUUUAAAAUAUUAAAUGAUAAAAAUAUAAUUAAAUUAUAAUCUUUUAAAAUAUAACAUCUACUUUUAAAUGAUAAAAAAUAUAGGGACAAGUUUAUAUGAACAUUUUUCUUUUACUUGGUAAUAAGGUGGUUCUAAUAAUACAAAUGAGAUUGUUCUCUUUAAUAUAUUUAUUUUUACUUCAGUAUGAGUAAUUGAUUCCUUUACAAAUUUCUCAAAGAUAAUCGAUGGAUAUAUGUUAGAUUGUUUCCUAGAACAAGUUCGUUCAAGUCUUCUAUAUAUCGAAGUUUAACAAAUUUUUCCUUUGAUUGGUUUAUUAUUAGAUGCUCAUGUGCCAUAAAUUAUUUCCAAUUUAAUGUUACAGCAAAUUAUAUUAAAAUAAAAAGCAAAAUAUUUAGAAUAUUAUUAUUAAUAUAUUAUGCGUGAUGAUUACUUAAAAACAGUUUAAAGUAAGUGAAACACAAUGAUUGAAUGGCUCUAUUACAAAAAUAAAAACAUAUUACGAUGUUCAUAUAGAAUGUGAAAAUCAAUUGGAACUUUCCAAACAAAUAGGAAGCUUGUAUAAUAUAAGGUAUUGAUUUUAUCUUUGUGUAUUGUUCUAAAGAUAUUGAGUUUAUGAAUUUAAGUUUUGUUUUUCAAAUUAUCUAUCUUUUUCAUAUUUACCUUAUUCUUGUGACGACUCGGCCAGUCGUCUCAUGAGUUACUGCCCCAUUUCCCCCAUUUCAGCUUCUUUAUGCUUCGUUAUCCGUGCUUUAUGUGAUCGAGAUGAUUAGUUCGAGUUCGGAGAGGAUUUGGUAAGAAAUGAGACACUUAGUCUCUUUUAAGAAGGCUUAAGUUGGAAAAGUCAACUGGAUGUUGACUUAUGUGUUAGAGGGUUCGGAUGUGAGUUUCGAUGGUUUGGUUAGCUUCAAGAGGUGAUUUGUGACUUAAGGAGAGUGAUCGGAAGUGGUUUUGGAGGUACGGUGUAGAAUUAGGCUUGAAUUGGCGAAGUUAGUAUUUUGGCGAAUUCCGGUUGAUAAGUAAGAUUUUGAUCCGACGGUCGGAAUGGAAUUCCGAGAGUUCUGUAGCUUCGUUAUGUUAUUUUGGACUUGUCUGCAAAAUUUGAGGUCAUUCGAACGUGGUUUGGUUGGGUUUUUGAUCAAAAAUGGAAUUUGAAAGUUCUUGAGAUUCAUAGGCUUGAAUUCGAUGUGAUUUGAUGAUUUUGGUGUUAGUCGAGGUGUUUUGAUGAUUGGAACGAGGUUGAAUAAUGUUUAGGAUACGUUGGUGCUUUGGUUGAGGUCCCGGGGGCCUCGGGUGUGUUUUGGGUGAGUUUUGAGCGAGUACGGACACCCAGAACUUAGAAAAAUGGAGGGAGCAGCAGUUUUGGCGCGGACCGCGCUCCUUUUCGCAUUGGGCGCGCUGACCUAGUGCUGGCCGCGUCAAAGUGGCCGCGGCCGCGGUAGUGAAGACUGUAGGUUGCUGGUCCUACUUCGGAAGCUCAUAUCUUUUGAUUUACAAGGAAUUUUGAGGUGAUUCAAAAACAAAAGUUGUAGCCAUUCGUGGCUAGUUUCCAGAAAGGUAAAGAUAUUGCAAUUUGGACAGCUGUAGCGAAAGUUAUGGCAAAAAUACUAAAGCCUGUCCCUGCAGAGCAAGACCUGCGCGACCGCGGUCGUUUUUGCGUGGACCCUGCUGGUUUUGCGCGGACCGCGGUCAUUUUUGUGCGGUCAGCGGUGUCGGAAUCUGAGGGGUACUCUAUAAAUACGAGGUUUUGGGUUUUAUUUGAUAUUUUGACCUAGAGAGCUCGGAUUUUAGCGAUUUUUCGAAGGUUUUUCAAGAAAUUGGUCUGGGUAAGUGAUUCUAACUCAGAUUUGGUUAGAGUACAUGAAUCUAUCACUAAAUUCAUCAUUUAAUUCGUGAUUUGAGAUGGAAUUUGGGAAGGAAAUUGUGGAACUUUUUAAAAAUGUAAAAUAAUGAUUUGAAGGACCAAAUGGUAUCGGAAUUGGAUAAUUUUGGUAUGGUUAGACUCGUGAGGGUAUGAAGAUUCUAAAAAUGUAAAUUUUACCCGAUUCCGAGACGUGGGUCCGGGGCUCAAGUUUUGCUAAUUUCGAUAUUUUUGAUAUUUUUCGAAUGUUUUUGCUUGGGCUUUGUUCCCUUAGCAUAUUGUGAUGUAUUCGUUCUGAUUUUGGAUAGAUUCGACGCGCGUGGAGGCCCAUUCAAGGGGAAAAGGCGUCGUGAGCUAGAGAAUUAGCCAGUUCGAGGUGAGUAAUGGUUGUAAAUGAUGUUCUGAGGGUUUGAAACCCCGGAUUGCACAACGGAGUGCUAUAUUGAGGCAAGAUACACGCUAGAUGAUGAGCGUGGGGUCUUCACUACUGGGGAUUGUGACUUGGUCCAUCCCGAUUGAUGAUUUUACCGAAUAUUUGACUGAAAUUCAUUUGUUACAUCAUGAUUUGGGCUGAUUGCCAUAAAUGGGCUUCGUGUCAACUAUUUGGACCCUUCGGGGAUUUUUAUCACUGUUUCCUUACUACUUGACUUAUUAUUUGAACUCAGUCCUGUUGAUAUCUACUGUUUUACAAACUCAGUCACUUUUACUCAGAUUUGAAACUUAAAUGAUAUUUCUACAUCAUGUUUUGGGCUGAGAACUACUGUUUUACUAAUGCCCAAGGGGCUUAUGAUGAUUUCUGGACUGAGUGAGGCCGAGGGCCAUAUGUGAGGAUAUGUUGAUUGAUAUGAGGCCGAGGGCCUGAGAUACUAUUUAUGCCAUGCGGUGGCUUGAGUGAUGUGAGGAUAUGUUUAGUGAUGAUGCCACGAGGUGGCUUGAUAUAGCGCUUGGGCCGUAAGGGGCCCCUCCGGAGUCUGCACACCCACAGUGAGCGCGAGUACCCAUGUGAUUUGAAAUAGUGGUAAUAAUGACACUGUUUGAUGCAAUUUGGUCAGGUAACAAUGGCUGACCAUUAUGCAGAGUGAUUGUGAGGUAGCCCGAGGGCCUGAUACUGUAUAGAGAGUGAGCCCGAGGGGCUGAUACUAUGCUGACCGAUUAAUACUGUGCCGAGGUGCAGAUUUCUACUUGUUAAUUACCUGUUAAAUUACCUGUUUUUAUUUGUUUUAAAAAGGAAUAUCAUUUGAUUUCUUCACUGAUUUACUGCUUUAAGUGAUUUUACUGCUUGAUAUGGAAUUGCUUUGUGCCUUUACGUGUUUUCAUACUUUCAGCCAUUAUUUGUAAUUAUUACUCACUGAGUCGGAGUACUACAUUACUCCCUGCACCAUGUGUGCAGAUUCAGGUAGAGCAGAGUCCGCACCUGAGCGUUGAUUCCUUCCAGGCUAGGCAGUGAUUUGGAGUUACG
rnacentral:lncRNA from 1 species